rnacentral:misc_RNA from 1 species
AAGCAUCAAUAGUUGAUUUCAUCGCUCUAAUCUGUUAUCAAUAGGGUUACACAGAGAUAAUUUACCGUUGAUCCAAGACUUCCCUUCUGACUCGAAUGUUAUACAUGUGCAACAUAAGUAUACAUAUCGUAAUAAAGCAUACAGAGUCAUCAACACAAACACAACUUUUUCAGGCUUCGUCUCUGUGUUCAAAAGAACAACACAGGAGGAGCGAAGGGAAAGAACAUUUAUUCAUAAACAUAAUAUGAACUAGAAUCAACAACUUCUUCCAGUUGAACCUGCAGAACCCGCUCUAGAUCCGUCUCUUUUAGGCAAUGCCAAUCCUCUGUCUCAACAUUACAACAAAAUCAUAGAUUUUGUCAGGAUCAGAAAGAUACUUAGAGACAUUCUCCUUUUGCAUACACCUGUUGGCCCAAGCCACAAACUUAGGACACUCUGGUUCAAUACUAAAUUUGCCAAAUUUUUCAUAAGCAGGGAACCAGCUAUAGUAAGGAAUGAGUGCCAAAUCCACAAAACCAAAACUUUCUCCAUCGAAGUAUGGCUUGUCUCCCAAUUCCCCUUCCAACACCUUCAAACACUCAAUGAAUUCUUUAUUAGCUGCUUCUUGUUCCUCCACUUUUGUUGUCCAAAUUUUCUUUCCACCAUCAUAAAUCUUUUUGUCAACAUAAUCAGCCCAAAACCUAGCUUGAGCUCUCUUAUAAGGAUCACUAGGCAACAAAGGUGAUUUGUCAUUCCAAACUUCAUCUAUGUACUCAACAAUUAUGAGUGACUCACAUAUUGGUUUUCCAUUAUGGAUCAACACUGGGAUUUUCUUGUGAAUUGGAUUCAUUUGUAAGAGUAAAGGACUUUUGUUCACCAAGUUCUCUUCUUUGUACUCAUAUUGGAUCCCCUUUUCAGCCAGGGCAAUUUUUACCCUCACAGCAAACAUACUCACAUAAGUUCCCAGAAGGACAACUUCAUCAGCCAUUUUUUUGCUGAAAAUUUGUAGUAAGUAGAAUUGCAAG